GAGUUUGAUCCUGGCUCANGGACGAACGCUGGCGGCGCUGGAUUAGGCAUGCAAGUCGAACGCGAACGGAAUCCUUCGGGAUUUUUAUUAGAGUGGCGGACGGGUGAGUAACGCGUAGAUAAUCUACCUUUAAGUGGGGGAUAGCCAUCGGAAACGAUGAUUAAUACCGCAUGUGGAGCUUCGGCUCUAAAGAUGGCCUCUGUUUCAAGCUGUCGCUUAAAGAUGAGUCUGCGUCCUAUUAGCUAGUUGGUGAGGUAACUGCUCACCAAGGCGAUGAUAGGUAGGCGGCCUUAACGGGUGGUCGCCCACACUGGGAUUGAGAUACGGCCCAGACUCCUACGGGAGGCAGCAGUCGAGAAUAGUCUACAAUGGACGAAAGUCUGAUAGUGCGACGCCGCGUGGAUGAAGAAGCAUUUCGGUGUGUAAAAUCUUUUUCUUUGUGAGCAAUGGCCUGUACAUUAAUAGUGUGCAGGACGAGAUAUUAGCAGAGGAAUAAGCUCCGGCUAACUCCGUGCCAGCAGCCGCGGUAACACGGGGGGAGCAAGCGUUGUCCGGAAUCACUAGGCGUAAAGGGUAAGUAGGCGGAAGCGAAAGUCAGAUGUUAAAGGCACCGGCUCAACCGAUGUACGGCAUUUGAAACUUCGUUUCUAGAGUAAGGUGGGGGAAGAUGGAAUUCCUGGUGUAGCGGUGGAAUGCGCAGAUAUCAGGAAGAACACCAGUGGCGAAGGCGAUCUUCUAUACCAUUACUGACGCUCAAUUACGAAGGUGUGGGUAUC
rnacentral:rRNA from 1 species